GUAGAUUAGUGGCACGUGGACUUGUUUUCAAAUCAUACAACUCUCUCUGACAGAUCAAAAUUGUUGAGUUUUAAAUCCGUUUCCACCAGGUUUCUGUAGACCAAAAUGUUGGCACGAAUAAUUUCUGGCAACUUUAAUCGGACGCAAGGCCCCGGCGAUGAGAUGUUCCACGUAAAACCCAAGUGAAGCAAUAAACCGCACCAGUAAGAGCUUAUAAAGAAUAUAUGCUUUUAAUGAGGGAUGAUACUAUUUG